UACGUAGGGUCCGAGCGUUGUCCGGAAUUAUUGGGCGUAAAGGGCUCGUAGGCGGUUUGUCGCGUCGGGAGUGAAAACACGGGGCUUAACCCCGUGCCUGCUUCCGAUACGGGCAGACUAGAGGUAUGCAGGGGAGAACGGAAUUCCUGGUGUAGCGGUGAAAUGCGCAGAUAUCAGGAGGAACACCGGUGGCGAAGGCGGUUCUCUGGGCAUUACCUGACGCUGAGAAGCGAAAGCAUGGGGAGCGAACAGG
rnacentral:rRNA from 1 species